rnacentral:rRNA from 1 species
GGUUAAGCGACUAAGCGUACACGGUGGAUGCCCGGCAGUCAGAGGCGAUGAAGGACGUGCUAAUCUGCGAAAAGCGUCGGUAAGGUGAUAUGAACCGUUAUAACCGGCGAUGUCCGAAUGGGGAAACCCAGUGCAAUUCGUUGCACUAUCGUUAACUGAAUACAUAGGUUAACGAGGCGAACCGGGGAACUGAAACAUCUAAGUACCCCGAGGAAAAGAAAUCAACCGAGAUUCCCCCAGUAGCGGCGAGCGAACGGGGAGCAGCCCAGAGUCUGAAUCAGCUUGUGUGUUAGUGGAACGGUCUGGAAAGUCCGACGGUACAGGGUGAUAGUCCCGUACACCAAAAUGCACAGGCUGUGAACUCGAAGAGUAGGGCGGGACACGUGGUAUCCUGUCUGAAUAUGGGGGACCAUCCUCCAAGGCUAAAUACUCCUGACUGACCGAUAGUGAACCAGUACCGUGAGGGAAAGGCGAAAAGAACCCCGGCGAGGGGAGUGAAAAAGAACCUGAAACCGUGUACGUACAAGCAGUGGGAGCACCUUCGGGUGUGACUGCGUACCUUUGUAUAAUGGGUCAGCGACUUAUAUUCUGUAGCAAGGUUAACCGUAUAGGGGAGCCGCAGGGAAACCGAGUCUUAACUGGGCGUUAAGUUGCAGGGUAUAGACCCGAAACCCGGUGAUCUAGCCAUGGGCAGGUUGAAGGUUGGGUAACACUAACUGGAGGACCGAACCGACUAAUGUUGAAAAAUUAGCGGAUGACUUGUGGCUGGGGGUGAAAGGCCAAUCAAACCGGGAGAUAGCUGGUUCUCCCCGAAAGCUAUUUAGGUAGCGCCUCGUGAACUCAUCUUCGGGGUAGAGCACUGUUUCGGCUAGGGGUCAUCCCGACUUACCAACCCGAUGCAAACUACGAAUACCGAAGAAUGUUAUCACGGGAGACACACGGCGGGUGCUAACGUCCGUCGUGAAGAGGGAAACAACCCAGACCGCCAGCUAAGGUCCCAAAGUCAUGGUUAAGUGGGAAACGAUGUGGGAAGGCACAGACAGCCGAGGGAUGUUGGCUUAGAAGCAGCCAUCAUUUAAAGAAAGCGUAAUAGCUCACUGGUCGAGUCGGCCUGCGCGGAAGAUGUAACGGGGCUAAACCAUGCACCGAAGCUGCGGCAGCGACACUAUGUGUUGUUGGGUAGGGGAGCGUUCUGUAAGCCUGCGAAGGUGUGCUGUGAGGCAUGCUGGAGGUAUCAGAAGUGCGAAUGCUGACAUAAGUAACGAUAAAGCGGGUGAAAAGCCCGCUCGCCGGAAGACCAAGGGUUCCUGUCCAACGUUAAUCGGGGCAGGGUGAGUCGACCCCUAAGGCGAGGCCGAAAGGCGUAGUCGAUGGGAAACAGGUUAAUAUUCCUGUACUUGGUGUUACUGCGAAGGGGGACGGAGAAGGCUAUGUUAGCCGGGCGACGGUUGUCCCGGUUUAAGCAUGUAGGCUGAUUGUCCAGGCAAAUCCGGAUAAUCAAGGCUGAGGUGUGAUGACGAGGCACUACGGUGCUGAAGUAACAAAUGCCCUGCUUCCGAGGAAAAGCCUCUAAGCAUCAGGUAACAUUAAAUCGUACCCCCAAACCGACACAGGUGGUCAGGUAGAGAAUACCAAGGCGCUUGAGAGAACUCGGGUGAAGGAACUAGGCAAAAUGGUGCCGUAACUUCGGGAGAAGGCACGCUGGUGUGUAGGUGAAGUCCCUGCGGAUGGAGCUGAGACCAGUCGAAGAUACCAGCUGGCUGCAACUGUUUAUUAAAAACACAGCACUGUGCAAACACGAAAGUGGACGUAUACGGUGUGACGCCUGCCCGGUGCCGGAAGGUUAAUUGAUGGGGUUAUCCGUAAGGAGAAGCUCUUGAUCGAAGCCCCGGUAAACGGCGGCCGUAACUAUAACGGUCCUAAGGUAGCGAAAUUCCUUGUCGGGUAAGUUCCGACCUGCACGAAUGGCGUAAUGAUGGCCGAAGCUGUCUCCACCCGAGACUCAGUGAAAUUGAACUCGCUGUGAAGAUGCAGUGUACCCGCGGCAAGACGGAAAGACCCCGUGAACCUUUACUAUAGCUUGACACUGAACAUUGAGCCUUGAUGUGUAGGAUAGGUGGGAGGCUUUGAAGCGUGGACGCCAGUCUGCGUGGAGCCAACCUUGAAAUACCACCCUUUAAUGUUUGAUGUUCUAACGUUGGCCCCUGACCGGGGUUGCGGACAGUGUCUGGUGGGUAGUUUGACUGGGGCGGUCUCCUCCCAAAGCGUAACGGAGGAGCACGAAGGUUAGCUAAUCCCCGGUCGGACAUCAGGAGGUUAGUGCAAUGGCAUAAGCUAGCUUGACUGCGAGCGUGACGGCGCGAGCAGGUGCGAAAGCAGGUCAUAGUGAUCCGGUGGUUCUGAAUGGAAGGGCCAUCGCUCAACGGAUAAAAGGUACUCCGGGGAUAACAGGCUGAUACCGCCCAAGAGUUCAUAUCGACGGCGGUGUUUGGCACCUCGAUGUCGGCUCAUCACAUCCUCGGGGCUGAAGUAGGUCCCAAGGGUAUGGCUGUUCGCCAUUUAAAGUGGUACGCGAGCUGGGUUUAGAACGUCGUGAGACAGUUCGGUCCCUAUCUGCCGUGGGCGCUGGAGAAUUGAGGGGGGCUGCUCCUAGUACGAGAGGACCGGAGUGGACGCAUCACUGGUGUUCGGGUUGUCAUGCCAAUGGCACUGCCCGGUAGCUAAAUGCGGAAGAGAUAAGUGCUGAAAGCAUCUAAGCACGAAACUUGCCCCGAGAUGAGUUCUCCCUGAGACUUUAAGUCUCCUGAAGGAACGUUAAAGACGAUGACGUUGAUAGGCCGGGUGUGUAAGCGCAGCGAUGCGUUGAGCUAACCGGUACUAAUGAACCGUGAGGCUUAACCUU